rnacentral:rRNA from 1 species
GCAGAGCAUCCUACGGGAGGCAGCAGUGGGGGAAUAUUGCACAAUGGGCGCAAGCCUGAUGCAGCCAUGCCGCGUGUAUGAAGAAGGCCUUCGGGUUGUAAAGUACUUUCAGCAGUGAGGAAGGUGGAUAUGUUAAUAGCAUAUUCAUUUGACGUUAGCUGCAGAAGAAGCACCGGCUAACUCCGUGCCAGCAGCCGCGGUAAUACGGAGGGUGCGAGCGUUAAUCGGAAUUACUGGGCGUAAAGCGCAUGCAGGUGGUUUGUUAAGUCAGAUGUGAAAGCCCGGGGCUCAACCUCGGAAUUGCAUUUGAAACUGGCAAACUAGAGUACUGUAGAGGGGGGUAGAAUUUCAGGUGUAGCGGUGAAAUGCGUAGAGAUCUGAAGGAAUACCGGUGGCGAAGGCGGCCCCCUGGACAGAUACUGACACUCAGAUGCGAAAGCGUGGGGAGCAAACAGGAUUAGAUACCCUGGUAG